rnacentral:rRNA from 1 species
AGUCGACGAGAAGCGGGGGCAACCUCGUGAGUAAGUGGCGUACGGGUGAGUAACACGUGGGUAAUCUACCUCUUAGUGGGGAAUAACGCUGGGAAACCGGCGCUAAUACCGCAUAAGCUCGAGAGAGGAAAGCAGCAAUGCGCUGAGAGAGGAGCCCGCGGUCGAUUAGCUAGUUGGUGAGGUAAGAGCUCACCAAGGCAAAGAUCGAUAGCCGGCCUGAAAGGGCACACGGCCACACUGGCACUGAAACACGGGCCAGACUCCUACGGGAGGCAGCAGUGGGGAAUCUUGCACAAUGGGGGCAACCCUGAUGCAGCGACGCCGCGUGAACGAUGAAGCCCUUCGGGGUGUAAAGUUCUUUCGGCAGGGACGAUAAUGACGGUACCUGCAGAAGCAGCUGCGGCUAACUACGUGCCAGCAGCCGCGGUAAUACGUAGGCAGCGAGCGUUGUUCGGAGUUACUGGGCGUAAAGGGUGUGUAGGCGGUUCUUUAAGUUUGGUGUGAAAUCUCCCGGCUCAACCGGGAGGGUGCGCCGAAUACUGAGGGACUAGAGUAUGGGAUGGGAAAGUGGAAUUCCUGGUGUAGCGGUGAAAUGCGUAGAUAUCAGGAGGAACACCUGUGGUGUAGACGGCUUUCUGGACCAUAACUGACGCUGAGACACGANAGCGUGGGUAGCAAACAGGAUUAGAUACCCUGGUAGUCCACGCCCUAAACGAUGCAUA